UUCAUAUGUUCGAUAUUUGUAAAGUUACGUGUGCAAUCUGUUUCCUUCUAUUGUUGUUAUUUUGUAAUACUGGGGGUUCUAAUUUUGCUACCAUACAUGUCUACACCCCUGCGCUCCGCCUGGCCCGGGUGGGUACAACGAUGGUUUGGCCAGGAGCACCUUUGGGUGUCCAUCGCAUAUAAAACUUGCGAUUUCAGUGUGGGAAACGCCUCACUGCAGGGAACUUCUGACGGCGCAUCUGUUAUCCUGUGAAAUUUCUUCGUCAGACUCACCGCUUUGCCAGAUUUUGCAUAUUUUGACUUACCCGCAUGUGAGCGAAGGUUUCCGGCUCAUUUAAAUUUAAUUUGAUCAUGGAGGCUGGUGUAUGUUACAAAAAUAAGGAUUGCCUUGGUCCUCUUUAAAGCUUAACUUGAUUAAGUAAGAGCAAGAAUGAUGAUACACAUUUUGAAUCGUUUUCGUGCAAGUAUGAUGCAAUAUUGCGCAAUGCUAAAAGUUUCCCCUGCCAAGAACAUCAGUAAGAACGGCGGGCUCCGUAUCAUCCGGUCUGCGACGCGUUGAAAAAUUAGAACCUAACCAACCGCAGCUUAAAGCACCUAUUACUUGUUUAUUUAUCCAUUUAUCUAUUUACAUUUUUUGCGGUUAUAGCCAUACUAGGAAUGAGGCCAGCUUCAUUUAUGACAUUUUUCUUUGCUUUGGCCUCCCUUAUCGCCACGCCCACCCUGACAGUGAUAGCACAGAUAGCAGCCUGCUUUGUGUGGCGCGCUGUACUUCCCUUCAGGCGCCACGGGGGAGGCGAGCCCGGGGCGGGAGGUAUUGUCAAUGAUUUUUUGUUUCUCCUCGUUUUAAUAAGUUGAUAAUGUAACGCUGGUAUAAUGGAUCUCUCUCUCUCUCUCUGUCUCUCUCUCUCUCUCUCUCUCUCUCUCUCUCUGAUUAUUUUUAUCGUGUGUGUGUGUGUGUGUGUGUGUGUGUGUGUGUGUGUUUGAUAAGAAGCUCCACUACACACUGACCUACCUAUCCACAGCCACAACCACCCACUAAUCUAUCCACCCGUUUAUCCACAGUCCCUCCAUUAACUUAUUCACUCAUUCAUACUCAUCCAUCCAACCACUUUCCCAUCCAUCCACCCACUUACUUACCUACACCAAACCCGCCAUCCACACCUCAUCCACACGCCUUAUCACCCAUACCCUUCACUCACCCAGCCACUCAGCGAUCCACCGACUCAAUAUUCACCCAUUCAUAACCUAAAACACUAGUUAAGUUAGACAAACCACAUCAUUGAAGGUAAAUAUUAACAGAGGUUAGAAAUAAGAAUAUAGAAGAACAGACACGUCAAAUAUAAACCGUAUUACGUCAACUCACAAACAUCUUAGUCAAAAAUACAACAAAAUAAUAAGUGAACAGAAAAUAUAUAUUGUGUAAAAUCAGAAAAUUGAAGAGUUAACACAUAUUUGGCAACACUUCUUCCUGCUCGGACCGUCCACGCAGAGCCGCAGAGGACCAGAGAGAGCGACGGAAGGAGGUAGUGAUGGUGCUGGUAGGCAAAAACUCUUAUUUCCGGCAGUUUCUCAAGGUUCCGGGUGUCGCAUGAAGGAGUACGAACAAAGGGUGUUCUACUACUACUACUAGUACUACUGCUACUGCUACUACUACUACUACUACUACUAAUACUACUACUACUACUCUCUCCAAACAGCCAGAGCCGCGUAGACCUACAAGUCUUUGGUCUUCCUUUGUGUUCUCCUUUAGAAGAUCCGAGGACGAGACAAGAGGACACACGUCGUUUUCUUCACGAGACACCGAGACGAAGGAAAAGAAAACGGGAGGCGAUCUUGAAGCAAACUCAACUAAAUUGAGCACUUUGGCUAUUUACACACACACACACACACACAGUAGCAGUAGUGGUGGUAGUACUAAUUGUUGUUCCUAGGCUUACGGUAUCCAAAACACACACACACACACACACACACACACACACACACACACACACACACAGUAGUAACUUGUUCCUAGGCCUACAAUAUCCAAAAUCCAUGAUCUUUACCAUUAUAUUACGCUCGUGUUUACAAUUAAGGGGUUUGUGUAUUAGUUAAAGCUUAUGCCAAUUGCUGCUAUUAU